UAUUAGGUGAAUGGUUGGUGUUGUUUCUCUAAAGAGUUGUUUAGUUGAAUAGUUAAUUUUUGAAUAUGAUUUUUCCAUUAUAGUACAAGUAGUGUUGUUUCUAGAUUGUGGCUUUUGUUUGCUAGUUUUCAUGUGGGGUAGUGAUUUUGAAGAAUUAGAUAUUUGUGCUGACAUUUGGUUGUUUACAAGCUUUUCAUUCCCUUGUAAUUAUCUUUCUUCAUUGGCGGUUCUAAUUAUUGUCUUAUCUGCUUGUUUAACUUUUCUUUAACUUUUGUACUAUAAAUUUAACUUUUCUUUUGCAGAUUAAAUACACAUUGUUUGCAGUAACUUUGGAUUUUUUCUGAAAGUUGUAAACUUAGCUUGAGCAAAGUUUUUGGUCCCUCAGCUCAACAAAGAAAUCUUUAUGAUUAAGCAGUGAUUCCAAUAGUACAUGAAGUUUUAGAAGGCUUCAAUUGUACCAAGAGGAGCGAGCUAGGGACCAAGAGGCACGAGCUACGCAAGAGGCAUGAGGACAUCUUCCGUUAGUUCUAAUUAUAUUAUGCUAUACUUUUUGUAUUGUUAUAAAACAUCUUGAGUUAUUGUAUGUGUUGCAAACAAUUAUUGUAUACUUGUAUGGAAGGAGUUUGAAUUGGAUACUUGUUUUAUUUUUUACUUA